AUGGCAAACUAAUCGAAAGGUUAGGACGCAAAGCCAAGGGUCUAAGCUCAACUGAGUAAGACAGCCGGUUGCC
rnacentral:ncRNA from 1 species